rnacentral:rRNA from 1 species
AGCAGCCGCGGUAAUUCCAGCUCCAAUAGCGUAUAUUAAAGUUGUUGCAGUUAAAAAGCUCGUAGUUGAACCUUGGGUCUGGCUGGCCGGUCCGCCUCACCGCGAGUACUGGUCCGGCUGGACCUUUCCUUCUGGGGAACCUCAUGGCCUUCACUGGCUGUGGGGGGAACCAGGACUUUUACUGUGAAAAAAUUAGAGUGUUCAAAGCAGGCCUUUGCUCGAAUACAUUAGCAUGGAAUAAUAGAAUAGGACGUGCGGUUCUAUUUUGUUGGUUUCUAGGACCGCCGUAAUGAUUAAUAGGGAUAGUCGGGGGCGUCAGUAUUCAGCUGUCAGAGGUGAAAUUCUUGGAUUUAUUGAAGACUAACUACUGCGAAAGCAUUUGCCAAGGAUGUUUUCAUUAAUCAAGAACGAAAGUUAGGGGAUCGAAGACGAUCAGAUACCGUCGUAGUCUUAACCAUAAACUAUGCCGACUAGGAAUCGGGCGACGUUAUUUUCACGACUCGCUC